rnacentral:lncRNA from 1 species
CUCUGCCCUCUCAUUGGCCAGAAUGGUCCCACCUGAUCUCGUUCCUCCCGCCUGCUUUCGAUUACAUGUUCCAUUGUUAGAGCGGUCACUUGACUAUCUUGUCAAUAUAAUAGACCAUCGUUGGCCUAAUGCGCUCACUGGAAUCUGAAAGUACUCUUUCUAAACAACUAAGACAACCUUACAAACAUGGCGAUUGCGGUUCCUAUAAGCGUGUAAUGGAAGAGUUAUUUUGCCGACCAGUCCCAAAUGACAGGCACCUCCUUCUUCCAAUCCCUGUCUUACUUUGCAUAGAAUGGCACACCCUCUUUACCGUCACUCAGGAGAUACUGAGGGAGGGGGGUGCUCUGAGUUCCUGGUCCUCCUAGCCUCGAUUUGGCCGGACACGACACACUUUCGGAUUUACAGAACAAAAGCAACAACGGACCGAGGGGGCCACAAAAGAGAAGAUUGGGAUAUUUUGUUUCACUUUAUCCAACCCCAGAGAAGACGGGGUGAAAUACAUGAUUCCGGUGUUUCUGCUGUGCCUCACUGCCUCUGUUGGGGGGGGUCAAACUUGAUUCUGAGGACUGACGACUUGAAGGGAAACAAGGACGACGGAACAAAGCCAGUGCUGGAAACGGACUGGAGU